rnacentral:lncRNA from 1 species
GACAAUUAGCCGUAACAAUUCAACUAUAAAUAGAGAGUAUAGACAUUUACAUUAGUAUCUCCUUCUAUUAGUUUCGGCAAAGAGGAUGCUAAGGUGUAGUUCUGAUUUUUUUUUUUUUUUUGGUGUAGUUCUGAUUUUUGAUAAUAUGAUUUUUUUUUUUUGUAUUUUGGUUUUUUGAAUUGUUUCCAUGAUUUGAGUUGCUGUAACAACCCGCCCAGUGGGAUCAUCCGCCAUGUGGCACACCCUGCCACAUGGCAUGCUUACAGCGCUGCAGCGCAUCGACCUUAACCUCUCUCCUGUGGGCCCAAACUGCGCAUCCCACUGCUCGCAGCCUCCUGGCCCACCAGGUAGGUUAUUGGUGCGCCUGGUGUUCCUUGAACCUUGGUCCUCACCCUUUAACAACCUUCCCACUUGACAACUUGUUACCAGUAAAUCUGCAGUUCAAUUGGUAACAACUUGUCAAGUGGGAAGGUUGUUAAAGGGUGAGGACCUGGGUUCGAGGAACAACAGGCGCACCAAUAACCUACCUGGUGGGCCAGGAGGCUGCGAGCAGUGGGCUGCGCAGUUUGGGCCCACAUGAGAGAGGUUAGGGUCGAUGCGUUGCAGCGCUGUAAGGAUGCCAUGUAGUGGGGUGUGCCACAUGACGGAUGAUCCCACUGGACGGGUUGUUACAUUAAAAGUUUCUCACCGUGGAAGUUGUCACCAAUUAAUUGGGUUGCGCAGAUUGGGCCCACAUGAGAGAGGUAAGGGUCGAUGCGCUGCAGCGCUUGUAGCUGCCAUGUGGCGGGGUGUGCCAUGUGGUAGGUGUUCCCACCUGGAUGGGUUGUUACAGUUGCUUAUCAUCCUUUUAUGAUUUUGUGUUCCAUUCAAGGUUGUAAUUGUGUUUUUUUUUUAUAGUGUUGUAUUAUUUUGGUGUGUUUUGAUUGUUUAAUGCAAUUCUAACUUUUUGUUUAUGUAGUAGGAGUAUUAUCUAUAUUGGGAUCUUUGAUUGGAAAAGUCGUUUAAUGAAUUAAUUGGAGUUGAUGUUAGGCAGAGAGGAUGCUAAGGUAAAAAACACAAUCCGAUAUCUUUAUUUGUUUGCUUUUUGUUAGUUUAUUAUUUACUGAUAUCUUGGUAAGUUAAUUAAUUUUUUUGUUUAUGAAAUUUGGUAUGGAUAUUUUGGAAAUAUAAAACUAAAUUACGGUAGGAAGUAAGAAAGACAUCUAAUUUCGAGCUUAGGAGUUUAGAUGAACGACGUUGUUUGAGUAGUUAAUGCAUUAAUCGUCAAUCAUAAAUAAUUUUAACCAAAAAUAUAUCAAAUAUACCCAUGCAUAGCGUGGGUUCAAAACCUAGAAUGUUCAUGAAAUUAUUUUGAAGAAGAACCUAGAAUUAGACAUCUCAAUAUUUAACAUUUUUUGAAAUUAUAUUAUUUUUCUACUUUUAAGAUUUUUUGCAAAAAAAAAUAAAAAAUACAAUAUAUCGAAAUAAAAUAUAUAUGGAAAAUAUUUUGAUUAUUUGUUUUUGAGUACAUUUCUAAAUUUAAAAUGUAAAAAUUCUAAAGGUUUAGCCUAACAAUUCAGCUAUAAAUAUAGGGUCUUCACCACCACAUUAGAAUACGGUAUAGUUGAAUUGAUAGGAUUAAAUUUGUAGCUCCAAUUAGUUAUUUUCAUUGUAAUUCAUAUUUUUUAUAAUAUUUGUUUUUUGAAUUUUCGUUCUUUUAUGAUGCUUAUCAUCAUAUAAUUUUGUUGAUAUAUUUCAUUCAAAGUUAUACAUUAAUUAUUUUAGUUAUGUUGUGUUAUUAUACUGCUUUGAUUAUUUAGUCCAGUUCUAAGUUUUUAAUUUGUUUUCUUUUGUAAUUGGAGUACUUUCUAUAUUGGUACAUUUGAUCGUGAAAGCAAAGGACUUGGAUAUGAGGUUAGGCGGACGUAUUCUAAGGUAAAAUCCACAAUCCGUUUAAAAAACCAAAAACAAAUACCAUAUAUGGAAUUUAGAGAAAUCUGAAAUUAUGGAAUAUUUCUAAAAAAAAUUAUUUUUGUUUUCAAAAUAAAUAAAUGUAUAAAACUAAUCAAAAUAUUAAAUUUUAAGUUUUAAAAUAACACAAAUCUAUACUAUAUAAAAGUUGAGGCUAUAAGCUUUUGAGAGCGUCCACAUAGGAUUUUAAACGACCAAUCGGGAUUAGACAUCUCAUUAUUUUUAACAAAUUUUAAAUAGCAAUUAUUUUCCAUAUCUAAAAUUAUGUAAAAAGGAAAAUAAACCAUGAUAUAUGGAAAAUAAAACAAAUAUUUUAAAAUAUAGGAACUAUUCUAAAUAUAAAAUUUUGUUAUUAAAAUAUUUGAUACAAAGAUAAUCAAAAUAUUUUAUUUUCAAAUUUAACUAAAUUCAUCAACGGAAAUAUUUUAAAUUGUGUAGCAUAUGUUUGAUUUUAAACAACCAAUUGCGGUUAGAGAUUUCAUUAUUUAACAUUUUUUUAAUUAUAAUAAUUUUCUACAGUAAGAUAUAAGAUAAUUUUUGAGAAAUACCCCUUUUGGUGUACCCCUUUUUAAAAAUACCCCCUUUAUCUAUCCAUUUUCAAAAAUACCCCUUUUUAAAUAUAAAAAAUUAUAAAGUUUUAUAUAGUUGAUAAGGUACUUCUAUAUAAUAACUACUACUGGGAGAUUCAAUAAAAAUAUUUUAAAAUGUUUUAAAUAGUUUUAAAUCGUUUUUAUAAGUUUUAUAAGGUUUUUAAAAGGUUUUUAAAAGGAUUUAUACGGUUUUUAUAAGGUUUUUAUAAGCUUUUUAUAAUUUAUUUUUACGCUAUUUAUGAAAGGUAUAUAAAGUUUUAUACACAUAUAAAGGUAAUUUGUGUAUAUAUUUAUAAGCUUACACACAUUUUUGGAUAAAUUUCAACAUUUUUAGUGGGUUUUUUGAUAAAGUUUGAAAAGGGGGUAUUUUUAAAAAGAGGUAUAUGAAAAGGGGUAUUUUUGAAAUUUCCCCAAGAUAUAAAGGAAAAAACAGGAUAUACAGAAUUCAAAGAAAAUUUUUAAAAAUUUAUAUUGGGAAAUAGUUUUUUGUACUCUAAGAUUUUGGUAUCAAGGAAAAAUAUAUUAAACAUUUAAUAAUAAAAUUUUUAAAGUUUUACGUUUCUAAAAUCUAUGAAGUUUAAAUAAUUUUUAAUAAGAAAAUAUCCAUUAUUAUUAGUCUCACUAAAUUUGUUUGUAUUCCAACUUUGAUCAAAAUAUUCAUCAUUAUUAGUCUCACUAAAUUGAUGUUGUUUCAAAAUUUGUAAUUUUAAUAUUAAUAACUCACAUAGAGUAGAAAAUAUGAAACUAUAAUUGAGAUUAGAAAUUUCAUCAUUUUUUAUAAAUAAAAUAAUUUUCUAUAUUAAGAUUCUUUUAAAAAUGAAAAAAUAAAACAAGAUAUAUAGAUUUCAGAGUGAAAUAACCCAUCCCAUUUUUUUUCUUUUAAACAUGCAAACCGGAUUAACCCAAUUAAUUCGAACCAGCUAAACCAGCCAUAAUAAUUUAAAUCAAUUAAACCAAUCAAUCUCAUUAAAGUAAAGCAACAAUAUUAACCAGCGGAAAACUUAACCAAAAAUCCAAUAAAACAAUUCCAUUAAACCAACAAGUUCAACCAAACAUUAUUCCAAAACAUGAUCAUCCUAACAUGUUUCUAAAUUCCAUUCUAACACCCUAACAAAUCCAAAAAUAAUCUAAAACACCAAUGAGUGCCUAGAUCAUCCUCCUCUCCUCGCCAUGAUUCCACGGAUCACACUUUGACUUUAUGUGCAUCAAAGAAAGAGAUGCAUAAGUAUUUCAUAAAUACUUAGUGAGGGCGAUCCUCCCAUCUACGAGCUAAACACACAAGCAAUGAGAUAACACCCACAUAUAUAACAAAAACAAAUCAUCCAGCAAGCUAAACAUCCAAUAACACAUCCAGUUCACCUACAAAUCAUCACACAACAAGUCACUCAAUCCCAAUCGCUUAGAUAAGCUCAUGGUCACGCACUCACCUUAACAAGGUGAUUUGAACUACAGAAACAUCCAGAAAAGCCUCUCCUCGCGACUGCAACAGCCAAAAAACACCCUACAACAAACCACAUAAACAAAAGUCUCUAAGAACCAAAAGAACAGAAACACCAGAAAAACUACAGCCGCAGAAACGAAGCCCUAAAACAAAAACCAACCGUUAACUUCUUAAUCCCUACGGUGAAAAGCAAGAUCUAGACGUCAUGAAGCUCCCCACAAAUGUUGGUGCCGAUCGAAGAAACGAUGAAACCACGAUCGCACUUACAAACUCCGCUGAUCCCAGUUCGCAACAGAGAAAACGCGUCUCACCAAAUUGCAUAGAACUUACUGAGUAUUAAUCCGAAUUCACUUCUGUAAAAAGGAGAAUCAACGUACACGCCUUAAGAACAAACCUACCAAAAUUCAUUACCUUUCGAUAAGAUUUGAUACGUCGUAACUCUAUUCUACCAGGAUGUGACGAAUCUGCUUCUCUCGCCUUAAACACCAAAGCAAAGCUAACACUCUCCUUCUCACAAGUAAACUUCUCCUUCUCUUUUUCUCAACUCAACUCUCAGAAACAACAACCACAAAACAAAAGAGAGAAGAAGCGUUCUUUAUAAAACUAGGGUUUUUGGUUUAAUUCUAAUUAAACCAGAAUUUACCUAAACCGACUUUAAUUAAACCUCCUUUGAUUCAAUUAAACAAAUCGACCAGUUUAGGAAAUCAACCGGAAUUAAACCGACUCCACCCUAAUUCUUAUACACAUUCAAGUCUCCUAUUAAUUUUCAGAACACGGGCGUUACAAUUCUCCCCCACUAACAUGGAUUCGUCCCUGAAUCCUUCAACAUGUCCGUCAGUACACCACUGACCUCUCCGAGGCCCCUAUCUAAUCAAUAUACUCACCUCCCCCGUCCACAGGUCGCAACCCAUGAAUCAUACCGGCUCGUCCUCAGGCCUCAGCCUUAGACAACGGUAUCCAGGAAGUCUCACCACUCCCCCCGCUCUCAGGCCGCAACCUUCGAGUCAUACCGGCUCAAUAUUAGGCCAACAACCUUCAAGCUACGGUAUCCGGGAAGUCUCACGACUCCCCCCGCUCUCAGGUCGCAACCUUCGAGUCAUACCGGCUCACUAUUAGGCCACCCGCCUUCUAGCUACGGUAUCCGGGAAGUCUCACGUUGCUGUCGGGUUAUCACCCUCAAGCGUGCACUCGAAUUGUCAUCCGAGGCCAUCACAUCAUAUUCGAGCAAAUAAGUCUAAACGCCCCCGAGCAUAUCUCUCGAUCAGAUAUACCUCACGUGGUCCACUUAUAGCAUCGCAAUGUUAUACUAACCACCACCCCGAGACUUUCCAAAAAUAGAACUGUCAAACCCGACACUUUCUACUUUUAGAAACUCGCACAUAUUUCUCUUACACAUGACACAACAAGUCAAAUCCAAGAAAUACUCAUCUUAUUAAUCUCCAAUGUCAUAAUCAUUACACCAAAAAUGAAAAUACAAAAGAGAUACAACCAAAUCAAAACUCAAAACAAAACAAGCCAACGGUCUACUGCUCGAUAUGCUUGUCAAACCACUUCCGGAACCUUGCCUUCAUCCUGGCCACUGGCUCCCAAGUCUCCUCCAAGACUCCAUCACAGGCCCCCUGGACUCUCAUCAAAGGAAUCUUCUUACGUCGAAGUUCCUUUACCCGCCUCUCGAGAACCCUCACUGGCCUCGCCUCCAAGGUCAUGCUAGGCUGAAGAUCUGCCGGGAUCGUAGCCAACACCUCAUCAUCCUUGUGAAGACACUUCCUUAGCAUCGACACGUGGAAUACCUUAUGAAAUGCAUGCAUUACCUCAGGUAACUCCAACCGAUAAGCCACCGGUCCAACCCGCUCCACAAUCCUGAAAGGACCUAUAAACCUCGGACUCAGCUUAGUCUCGGUAAGGGACCUGUUAGGACCACGCAACAUCGCCAUCUUGAGAUAUACCAUAUCUCCAACCUCAAACUCCAACUCCUUACGCCUCUUAUCAGCAUAACACUUUUGCCGAUCCUGCGCCUCUCUCAUGUUCAGCUUCAGAACCCGAAUCUUCUCUGAAGUCUCCUGAACAAAAUCCGCACCAUAAAUGCUCCUCUCCCCCACUUGAGUCCAGCAUAGAGGUGUCCGACAUGGCCUCACAUACAACGCCUCAUAAGGAGCCAUCCCAAUACUCGCCUGUUAGCUAUUAUUAUAAGCAAACUCCACCAAGCUCAAGUGAUCUGUCCACUGACUACCCCAGUCCAACACACACAUCCUCAACAAAUCCUCAAAUGUCUGAAUGGUCCGCUCAGACUGCCCGUCUGUCUGAGGGUGGUAAGCCGUGCUUAAAUGCACCUUAGUACCCAUCUCCUUCUGGAAAGCCUUCCAGAACGCCGAAGUAAACUUCGAAUCCCGGUCUGACACAAUACUGGCCGGUACUCCAUGAAGUCUCACAAUCUCCUGCACAUACUUCUUAGCUAGCACUGCCGCUCCAUCGGUUUUCUUGAUAGCCAAGAAAUGUGCAGACUUAGUCAAACGGUCAACAAUGACCCAAAUGGCAUCCUUGAACUGAGGCACUGGCAACCCUACCACGAAAUCCAUCGUGUUCAUGUCCCAUUUCCACUCUGGAAUAGGCAGACUCCGCAAUAAUCCACUCGGCACCUGAUGCUCAGCCUUCACUAGCUGACAUACAUCGCACUCAGAGACCCAUUUAGCUACGUCCCUCUUCAUCCCGACUCAAUGAUAAUACCGUUUCAGAUCUCGGUACAUCUUGGUCGCUCCUGGAUGAAUAGAGUACCUACUCGCAUGAGCCUCACUCAAGAUCUCUCGUCUCAACUCCUCAUCCUUGGGCACACAAACUCGCCCAUGCACAAGGAUAGUCCCAUUGGCUGCAACCUGAUACUCUCACUCAGUAUCCUUAGCCCUGCAUCCUUCUCUUGAGCCGCUCGAACUCUGGUCAGAAGGUCUGCUUGGUUAGCUGCUUCUAACCCUAGUGGCUCCUGAGAGAUAGCACACAACCGCAAGGUGUUAAGUUCUCCCACCAAGGUCUCCAUAUCCUGCCCUCGAGCUGAAGCUGCUCGCUUCCUGCUCAGAGCAUCUGCAACCAGAUUAGCCUUACCAGAAUGGUAAGCUAUCUCCAGAUCAUAGUCUGCAACCAACUCCAUCCAGCGCCUCUGCCUCAAGUUCAACUCAGGCUGCGUGAAUAUAUACUUUAGACUCUUAUCAUCUGUAAACACCUGAACCUUCGCUCCAUACAGAUAAGAUCUCCAUAUCUUCAGAGCAAAGACCACCGCUACCAUCUCCAAAUCAUGAGUAGGGUAGUUGCCCUCAUGCUUCUGCAACUGCCGCAAAGCAUAGGCGAUCACCUUACCCUGCUGCAUCAACACACAACCUAAACCAAUUCCCGAAGCGUCCGUGUACACCACAUACGGCUCUCCCUGCUCCGGUAAAGCCAAAACCGGCGUACUCGUCAACAUCUCCUUGAGUUGAGCGAAACCCUGCUCACACUCAGGAGUCCACACAAAAGGAACAUCCUUCCCCGUCAGCUUGGUCAUUGGCUGAGCUGUACUGGCAAAGCCCUUCACAAACCGUCUGUAGUAACCCGCCAAUCGUAGAAAACUCUGUAUCUCGGUGGCAUUCUACGGUCUAGGCCAAUCUCUGAUAGCCUCAAUCUUCUCUGAAUCCACAGAAACUCCCUCUGCAGACACGAUAUGACCUAGAAAACCCAUCUUUCUCUGCCAGAAACUGCACUUGCUCAGCUUAGCAUACAGCUUUUGCUCACGCAGCUUCUCCAACACUGCCAGCAAGUGUACCUCGUGCUCCUCAGGACUCUUAGAAUACACCAGGAUAUCAUCAAUGAAGAUGAUAUCAAACUCAUCCAGAAACGCCUGGAACACACUGUUCAUCAGCCUCAUGAACGCCGCUGGUGCAUUAGUCAACCCGAAAGGCAUCACCACGAACUCAUAAUGUCCAUACCUCGUCCUGAACGCCGUUUUACGGAUAUCUGCCUCGUCGAUAGGAAUCUGAUGGUACCCCGACGCCAAAUCGAUCUUAGAGAACCACGUAGCUCCCCUCAACUGGUCCAACAACUCGUCAAUCUGCGGCAAAGGAUACUUGUUCUUCACCGUGACUCGGUUAAGUCCCCGGUAAUCGAUACACAGCCGGAAACUCCCAUCCUUCUUCUUAACGAACAACACCGGUGCUCCCCAUGGUGAAACACUAGGACGGAUGAAACCCUUACCCAGCAGAUCCUCCAACUGUUUCUUCAGCUCAGCCAUUUCUGCUGGAGCCAUCCGGUACGGAGCCUUAGACAACGGCGUUGUCCAGGGCUCCAACUUAAUCGUGAAGGGAUCAGACCUAGAUGGUGGUAACCCCUUUAACGACUGAAACACAUCCUCGAACUCCUGGACCACCCGAAUCUUAUCCACUGCUACCUCAUCGACCGUCUCUGGCAUGAGGAUCGUAGCCAAAUAGGCUUCCCGCCACUUCCGGAUCAUCUUAUCCGCCUGAAUCGCCGAAAUCACUAAACUCCCCGAAAUCGGUCUCACACCCUGGUAAUACAUCUUCGGCCCGGGACGCUCGAAGUAUACUCUCCCCCGGUGACAAUCCAGAUGAACUCUGUGCCGCUCCAACCAAUCCAUGCCCAGAAUUACAUCAUACAACUUCACCGGACUAAUGUACAGAUCUGCCGGCAUCGACUCUCCCGCAAUCUGUACAUCCACACCACUAGCCCGUCCCUGAACCGCUAGCAAAACGCCUCUUGCGACUUUAACGGCCCCAAAACAAAUAUCGGGAUCUCUUCGGAUGUUACUACCCGUCGCGCACUCUGGGGUAAUGAAGCUAUUCGUAGCUCCAGAAUCAAACAUCACGUGGGACAAGAACCCGCCCACCAACAGGGUCCCUACACAAACCCUUUUCACUAAGACUGCCCACCCCAACAUCACAGGAAAACAACACAAAUUCUAAAACAACGGAAGGAAACAAAAUGAGUCAUAGAAUUAAACAUGUGAUCGGCCGUCCAGUGCUUGGCUCUCCUCUCUCCACAGUCGUAUACCCCCUCGAUCCCUCGAUCUGUGCCACCAGCGGUGCUCCCAGUUGAGCCAACGACUGCCUUGCCAGCUGCAAUCCUGGCUGCACCCACUGCUGCACCACUGGCUGCAUCACCAGCUGCACCGCUGCUACCGUCAUCUGCUGCAACUUAGGACACCUCGUCUUGAUGUGCCCCGUCUCUCUGCAGUGAUAACAGAUACGGGUAUCCACCCACGGCUCGCCCUUCUUCGGGCAGCUCGCCACCUAGUGAUUCGUGCUCCCACACCUGAAGCACCUCCGAUCACCCUGACUCACCCUGGAAGUGUCAUCCCACUUCCUCUUCUGUCCCUGAGCAGGUUUGCCACCUCUGCUCGGAACAGACUGCGGCUGGGUCUUCUUCGGCUGCGCCGACGGACAAGGAAUCACCCAGUGACUCCUCAACUCGUCCUCGAUCCCCGCCGCCACCUCAACCAGCUCCACACGCGAUGCAUAGGCCCGCACCUUGCACCGCACCCUCAUGUCAGGGCUGAGACCCUUCAUGAACCGACGCACCUGCAUCUGCUCAGGAUCUCCCGCACGCCCCGAGUACUCCAAGAGUCGGCUGAACUCCGAGUCGUACUCCCGCACCGACCGCUCGCCCUGAGUCAACGCCAGGAACUGCAACUCCAUCCGGUCUAGUGCCUCCGCCGGAAAAUACUUGGCAUUAAACUCUGCCAAGAAAUCUCCCCACACCGCCAAUCCCUGCCCCCUCUUGGCCAGCACACUCCGCCACCACAAAUGUGCAUCACCUGCCAAGUAGUGGGCCGCUAGGUCCACCCGAUACGCCUUUGGGCACCUCAUCGACUGGAAAUACCGCUCCAGUCGCACCCGCCACUCAUCCGCUACAGCCGGGUCGGAACCUCUGAAGAACAAGGACAUCCCGAACCGCUGCAGCUGCUCCAACAUCCACAGGUAGUAUGGCUGCUCGACCACCGCACCUACCCCCUCAGGCGGUACAACCCCAACAACAGGCUGCACACCAGGCCCAACAGGCUGCACACCAGGCCCAAGAGGAGACUGCACCUCAGGCCCAACAGGAGCCUGCAACUCAGGCCCAACAGGAGCCUGCACCGGCGGUACCGCACCCGGUAACCGCUCCAAGAGUUGCGUCAGUAAAUCCGCAAGCUGAUCAUUCUGACCCUGGGCUGCACCUGUUGGAACACCCCCAACUGGGUUUCCAACAACACUAGUACCGUUCCCGGACGAACCGGCUCCCACGGCACCCACACUCUCACCACCCACGGCGACUGGGACUCACUAACAAAAUCGGCCGUAGCAUUCCGGCCCACACUCGUGUCGCUACCCGAGGCAACACCACGCCCCCUACCGCGACCACGCCCAUGACCACGACCACGACCACGACCGACAGCUCCACCUCAAACCAUCUGCAACACAACAGAAGGCUAAGAACACUAAACAAAUCACCAAACGGCACAACUUACCGUGGAAUCUCAUUGAAGGCUCGAGAGGAUGAUCUAGGUUUCCAUGCUCACACAAUUAAUAAAACACACAAUCAAUCAGCAUGCAAACCACAUCAUCAUUCCUCAUCAAUGAAAUUCACACAUCACAUCACAAUUUUUACCAAUUAAAUCUCGUCCUAGAACCGUAAAUGCUCUGAUACAAAAUUGAAAGAACCCAUCCCAUUUUUUUUUCUUUUAAACAUGCAAACCGGAUUAACCCAAUUAAUUUGAACCAGCUAAACCGGCCAUAAUAAUUUAAAUCAAUUAAACCAAGCAAUCUCAUUAAAGUAAACCAACAAUAUUAACCAGCGGAAGACUUAACCAAAAAUCCAAUAAAACAAUUCCAUUAAACCAACAAGUUCAACCAAACAUUAUUCCAAAACAUGAUCAUCCUAACAUGUUUCUAAAUUCCAUUCUAACACCCUAGCAAAUCCAACAAUAAUCUAAAACACCAAUGAGUGCCUAGAUCAUUCUCCUCUCCUCGCCAUGAUUCCACGGAUCACACUUUGCCUUUACCUGCAUCAAAGAAAGAGAUGCAUAAGUAUUUCAUAAAUACUUAGUGAGGGCGAUCCUCCCAUCUACGAGCUAUACACACAAGCAAUGAGAUAACACCCACAAAUAUAACAAAAACAAACCAUCCAGCAAGCUAAACAUCCAAUAACACAUCCAGUUUACCUACAAAUCAUCACACAACAAGUCACUCAAUCCCAAUCGCUUAGAUAAGCUCAUGGUCACGCACUCACCUUAACAAGGUGAUUUGAACUACAAAAACAACCAGGAAAGACUCUCCUCGCGACUGCAACAGCCAAACAACACCCUACAACAAACCACACAAACAAAAAUCUCUAAGAACCAAAAGGACAGAAACACCAGAAAAACUACAGCCGCAGAAACGAAGCCCUAAAACAAAAACCAACUGUUAACGUCUUAAUCCCUACGGUGAAAAGCAAGAUCUAGACGUCACGAAUCUCCCAACAAAAGUUGGUGCCGAUCGGAGAAACGAUGAAAUCAAGAUCGCACUUACAAACUCCGCUGAUCCCAGUUCGCACAGAGAAAACGCGUCUCACCAAAUUGCAUAUAACUCACUGAGUAUUAAUCCGAAUUCACUUCUGUAAAAAGGAGAAUCAACGUACAUGCCUUAAGAACAAACCUACCAAUAUUCAUUACCUUACGAUAAGAUUUGAUACGUCGUAACUCUAUUCUACCAGGAAGUGACGAAUCUGCUUCUCUCGCCUUAAACACCAAAGCAAAGCUAACACUCUCCUUCUCACAAGUAAACUUCUCCUUCUCUUUUUGUCAACUCAACUCUCAGAAACAACAGCCACAAAACAAAAGAGAGAAGAAGCGUUCUUUAUAAAACUAGGGUUUUUGGUUUAAUUCUGAUUAAACCAGAAUUUACCUUAACCGACUUUAAUUAAAUCUCCUUUGAUUCAAUUAAACAAAUCGACCAGUUUAGGAAAUCAACCGGAAUUAAACCGACUCCACCCUAAUUCUUAUACACAGUCAAGUCUCCUAUUAAUUUUCAGAAUACGGGCGUUACACAGAGAAACGUUAACUGUGCUCCAAAUUUUAUGAUAGUGUAUAUGAAAAGAGAAUAAAAGGAUAACCAAAGCUUCUCAAUCACUAUAAAGACUUGGGUUAAGAAUUUUAGAUCUAGAAUUAUAUCAGAUAUCAGAAAAAUGUAAACUUCUCUCCAAUUUAUAAAUAAAAAGCGAAUAAAUGGGAUAAACAAAUCUUAUCAUUCACGAUAAUGACUUGGGUUAAGAAUUUUAGAUAUGAAAUUAAAUAAAUAACAAAUAUGGACUUUAUUGUUGGCAAGAGGGUAAGGAAUAUGAGCCAUAUAUUUGAGGAAAUUAAUGCAUCAUUUGAGAAAGAGAAUUUUAUGUGUAAUAUUGUUCCAUGUAUUUAGAGAGAGCAUAGAUGGUUGGUUAACAGGAUCUCCGGCUCUGGCAAAGAUGAUAAAAUAUUUAGGCGGUUGGAUCCUAGAAUGAUAAUUGCAAGGAGAGUAUUAACCACCGACUAGGAGAGGCAAUUGUUAAAAGUUACAACCUAGCUAGGUUUUGGUUGUAGACUUAGAUUUAGAAUCCUUUAUUGGCGGUCAGGUUUUGUCUCAUGAUUAUAAGAGUGGCGAAAUGGAUGCCAGAAAUUAGGCUUUUAAUAAGAUUAGUGGUGAUGAAAAUACAAAUCAACAAUAUUCUAUUAUUUCUAUAUAUUGUCAAUCGGUAUUUUUCAUCUUCAUAAUUUUGUAAUAGAAUGGAUUCACUAAAAUCUAAUAUUCUAAAACGUGACCUAGGUGGUUGCUUAGACACUAGGACCUCAGCCGAAGUCUAGACGACUGCCUAAAUUGUAUAGAUUAUAUUAUUGUAAUUUUUAACUGCAUAUAUUUAAAUUUUAAGUUUUACAUCCAUAUAUAUAUAAUUAUAAACGUUCAUAUAUUUUUAAAAGAAUUUAAAUAACCGUUUUCUAAUAUUAUUUUAAGAUUUAUUAAUUUUGUUUUUCUAACAAAUAUUUUUAUAUCGUUUAUCAAUAAUAUCAUAUAUAUAAUACUUUAUUUUGUAAUUACUAAAACAAACCUUAUAGAAAAUGUUAAACGUAGUUGAAAUAAAAGUAUGGUUGUAGUAAGAUUUUGGAGAAUAAAAGAAGUGCUAAAAUAUAUGGUUAACGCUCAUACAUUAUAUAACAAUGAGAGGUAGUAGUUGCAAAACUUACAAAAAAAAAAUAUAGAAGUCAUGGUUUUAAAUAGUCAUUAGAUUUUUAGAAUAUUAUCUUGAGAUAAGCUAUACUAACAAAAAUGAAGUGAGUAGGAAAAAAAAUGGUAAUGAAAUUGUGCAUAACAAAAUGAAGAAGUCAUAAAAGUUAAGUGUUUCUGAUAUAUGACAACAAUGUAAUUUAUAAAGAUACAAUUGGAACGUUAAAGAUGAAGAGGCAUGUAAUAUUUAAAAUUUUUUGGUCAUUUGUUAGGUGCAUUUAUGACCAACAUCAAUCUAUAGAAAAUAAUAUUUUAACUAACCGUAUAUAAUUUUUAAUUUUUCUUUCGUAUCCUAAAAAAAAUUGAAAUAACGUAAAUGAUACACAAACUAUAAAUUAAAGAAAUUUUUUAUUAAAAUAUAACUAAAAUGUUAUAGCACUUUCGCAUAUUAUUUGUAAAUAUAUAGCUAUUUAAAUGAGUAUUUAAUCUAAAUAUUUUUAAAAAUAAUUAAUACGAAUAUACCCGCGCAUAGCGCGGGUUAAUAACCUAGAAUGAAACUAUAGUAUUUUAGGAACAAGCAUUUAAAAAUAUUUAUCAAUGAUAAACAUUUAAAAAUAUUGCAAUGAUAAACUAAACAUAUCGAGGUAUGAUUAAAGAGAUUAGAGUGAGUGAAGCAAUACUAAAUUGAUUCUAAUCCAUGUAUGAAAAACUUUAGGAGAGCACAAAAGGUAUGCGGAAACAGUGGUUAAUGUUUUGACGAAUAUGAUUUUGACUGCAAAGAAGUGUGCGGUAAAAAUGAAGAAUAAGAAAGAAGAUGUUGAGAAAAAGCUUGAAGGUCAUGUUAAGAUAAGAGGAAAGAGACAAUGAGAAGCUGAAGGAGACAUUGUUGGGAUUAAGAGAAGAGAAAAUAAGAGUGAUAAGACAGUUGUGUGUAUGGAUCAAACACCAUAAUGACCAUUGUGAGUAUCUUGGAAAGGUUCCUUUUGUCAAAAAUAGUUAUUACAAGAGGACAAAGAGAAGCACAACCGGCAAUUCAAGUAACUAUUUUCUUCCACGGAAUUCAAGCAAUUCAAGCAAUUCAUGUAACCACAGUUAAAGUUGAUUACUAUUCUAAACUAUUGGAUAUGAAGAAAAAGUAUCAAUGAAAGCAGAAACAAGAAAAAUUGGCUAGGUGUUGCUCUGAUUUCAGGAAAGUAUUAGAUGAAGUAUAUGCUAAGAAUCAACACAAAUCACUAGAUCAUCAUAGUUUCUAUGUCAAGCAGCAUGAUCCCAAAAAUUUAAGCAUAAAGUGAAUGUUUUCUUGGAGGACUAUAACUUCAUUUCUAUUAAUUUUGAUUUUGAACCUAAUUUAUGUUUUCUUAAACACCAUUUAUUUGAUGGGUUGCACUUGAAGCUAAGUCCAGCUAAUUCCAUAUUUUUUUCUCUAUAUAGAACGUGUGUAAUAAAAAGGCGUCGUGAUUGUUUAAAGAAAAAAUGAUGAAACGAAGAGAAUGUUGUGUAUCAUUUAAGUGCAAAAUUGCAUCAAGUAUAGAUGGUUGUUAUGGCCCAAAUACAAGUUUAGUGGCAGAAAUUAAAGAUAUCAGUAAAAAAAGCAUAAAGAAGACAUGCUUCGUUUCAUUGAUGUUGAAACUAGGCCCUCUUUCAUCCUAGAUGUAGAGUUCAUAUAUAAGUCCAUGCUGACCUAUAUCAACUUAUUAAGUAUUACUGUGAAGAAAUAUGUGUUGCGGAACUAUCAGAUAAUGUUAUGAAGCUAUGAUUAACCUUUAUGAUGCCCAUGUUUGUCGUUCCUUCUAGGUCUCAAACUAAUGAGACAAUGAAAGAUGUUGCAAAGAUCGAAGACAAGCAAGAGCACCAUUAUGCAUGUGAGGUGGUGAGGAUAAACACAGCUGGUGACAGUUUUAAACCAUAUAUAAAAGGAAACAACAUGAUUUACUUAUGUUUCAGUAAACCAUUAGUAACCCGAAAAACACCUAAGAAAGAAAACCUAAAAGUAUAAGGAAAUGCACCGAACCCUCAAUAUUGGUGAUCAACUGUAGUUCCCACCCCAACAUCCUCUCUUGCUCACCAACGACUAGUAAUCACCCCGUGACUCCUCAACUCGUCCUCGAUCCCCGCCACCACCUCAACCAGCUCCACAUGCGAUGCAUAGGCCCGCACCUUGCGCCGCACCCUCAUGUCAGUGCUGAGACCCUUCAUGAACCGACGCACCUGCAUCUGCUCAUGAUCUCCUGCACGCCCCGAGUACACCAGGAGUCGGCUGAACUCCGAGUCGUACUCCCGCACCGACCGCUCGCCCUGAGUCAAAGCCAAGAACUGCAACUCUAUCCGGUCUAGUGCCUCCGCCGGGAAAUACUUGACAUUAAACUCCGCCAAGAAAUCUCUCCCACACCGCCACCACAAAUGUGCAUCACCGGCCAAGUAGUGGCCCGCUAGGUCCACCCGAUACGCUUUCGUGCACCUCAUCGACUGGAAAUACCGCUCCAAUCGCACUCGCCACUCAUCCGCUACAGCCGGGUCGGAGCCUCCAAAGAACAAGAACAUCUCGAACCGCUGCAGCUUCUCCAACAUCUGUAGAUAGUAUGGCUGCUCGACCACCGCACCUACCCCCUCAGGCAGUACAACCCCAACAACAGGCUGCACACCAGGCCCAAGAGGAGCCUGCACCUCAGGCCCAACAGGAGCCUGCACCCCAGGCUCAACAGGAGCCUGCACCGGCGGUACCGCACCCAGUAACCGCUCCAAGAGCUGCGUCAGCAAAUCCGCAAGCCGAUCAUUCUGACCCUGGGCUGCACCUGUUGAAACACCCCCAACCGAGUUUCCAACAACACUAGUACCGUUCCCGGACGAACCGGCUCCCACGGCACUCACACUCUCACCACCCACGGGCCCCUCCUGAUGCGACUGGGACUCACUAACAAAAUCGGCCGUAGCACUCCGGCCCACACUCGUAUCGCUACCCGAGACAACACCACGCCCCCUACCGCGACCACGCCCACGACCACGACCACGACCACGACCACGACCGACAGCUCCACCUCUAACAAUCUGCAACACAACAGAAGGCUAAGAACACCAAACAAAUCACCAAACCACACAACUUACCGUGGAAUCUCAUUGAAGGCUUGAGAGAAUGAUCUAGUCUCCAUGCUCACACAAUUGAUUAAACACACAAAUCAACCAGCAUGCAAUCCACAUCAUCAUUCCUCAUCAAUGAAAUUCACACAUCACAUCAAAACUUUUAGUAAUUAAAUCUCAUCCUAGAACCGUAAACGCUCUGAUACCAAAUUGAAAGAACCCAUCCCAUUUUUUUAUUUAAAACAUGUAAACCGGAUUAACCCAAUUAAUUCAAACCAAGCAAUCUCAUUAAAGUAAACCAACGUUAUUAACCAGCAAGAUCAACCAAACAUUAUUCCAAAACAUGAUCAUCCUAACAUGUUUCUAAAUUCCAUUCUAUCACCGUAACAAAUCCAACAAUAAUCUAAAACACCAAUGAGCGCCUAGAUCAUCCUCCUCUCCUCGCCAUGAUUCCACGGAUCACACUUUGCUUUUACUUGCAUCAAAGAAAGAGAUGCAUAAGUAUUUCAUAAAUACUUAGUGAGGCAAUCAUCCUACCACUGGCUAUACACACAAGCAGAAAUGAACACAUUCAAGUAUUAACUCAAACAACCACCAAUAUGACAUAAAACAUCACAACAUGACCCGUUCUGACGAGUAGUGUCGAUCGACACCAUCCGAUGGUGUCGAUCGACACUCAGGACCAUCCUCGCGAGAAAGAAAGUUCGUGUCGAUCGACACCCUCCAUUGGUGUCGAGUGACACCGAAACCCUAACAUCGCUCCAGCCGCUUCUCAUCGAAGGAUCCACCAACUCCAGCACUCCAUGCCCGAUCUAUCACCUCCCCAGGCUCGUACCAAGACACCAUACCACAUAAACAAACAUACAAACACAGAAAUCAAGCAUCAAUCAGAGGAAACACUCAAAAUAAUGCAUCAAAACUGCUUAGAUCUUGAGUUGGAUUUUAAACGACCAAUCGGGAUUAGACAUCUCAUUAUUUUUAACAAAUUUUAAAUAUCAAUUAUUUACCAUUUAUAAAAUUAUGUAAAAAGGAAAAUAAACCAUGAUAUAUGGAAAAUAAAAAAAAUAUUGUAAAAUAUAGGAACUAUUCUAAAUAUAAAAUUAUGUUAUUAAAAUAUUUGAUACAAACAUAAUCAAAAUAUUUUAUUUCAAAUUUAAUUAAAAUCAUCAACGGAAAUAUUUUAAAAUGUGUAGCAUAUGUUCGAUUUUAAACAACGAAUCGCACUUAGAGAUUUCAUUAUUUAAAAUUUUUAUAAUUAUAAUAAUUUUCUACAUUAAGAUAAAAAGGAAAAAACAGGAUAUUCAUAAUUCAAAGAAAAUUUUUCAAAAUUUAAAUUGGGAAAUAGUUUUUUGUAUCUAAGAUUUUUGUAUAAAGGAAAAGAUAUGAAACAUUUAAUAAUAAAAUUUGUAAAGCUGUACAUUUCUAAAAUCUAUGAAGUUUAAAUAAAUUUUUUAUAAGAAAAUAUCCAUCAUUAUUAGUCUCACUAAAUUUGUUUGUAUUCCAACUUUGAGCAAAAUAUCCAGUUUCCUAAUUGAUGUUGUUUCAAAAUUUGUAAUUUUAAUAUUAAUAACUCACAUAGAGGAGAAAAUAUGAAAGUAUAAUUGAGAUUAGAAAUUUCAUCAUUUUUUAUAAAUAAAAUAAUUUUCUAUAUUAAGAUUUUUGAAAAAAAAAAAAAUAACAAGAUAUAUAGAUUUCAGAGAAACGUUAACUAUGCUCCAAAUUUUAUGAUAGUGUAUAUCAAAAAAGAAUAAAAGGAUAACCAAAGUUUCUUAAUCACUAUAAAGACUUGGGUUAAGAAUUUUAGAUCUAGAAUUAUAUCAGAUAUCAGAAAAAUGUAAACUUCGCUCCAAUUUAUAAAAAAACGAAUAAAUGGAUAAACAAAUCUUAUCAUUCACGAUAAUAACUUGGGUUAAGAAUUUUAAAUAUGAAAUUAAAUAAAUAAAAAAUAUGGACUUUAUUUUUGGCAAAAGGGUAAGGAAUAUGAGCCAUAUACUUGAGGAAAUUAAUUCAUCAUUUGAGAAAGAAAUUUUAUGUGUAAUACUUUUCCAUGUAUUUAGAGAGAGUAGAGAUGGUUGGUUAACGGGAUAUCCGGUUCUGGCAAAGAUGAUAAAAUAUUUAGGCGGUUGGAUUUUAAAAGGAAAAUUGCAAGGAGAGUAUUAACCACCGACUAGGAGAGGCAAUUGUUAAAAGUUACAGCCUAGCUAGGUUUUGGUUGUAGACUUUGAUUUGGAAUCCUUUAUUGGCGGUCAGGUUUUUUCCCAUGAUUAUAAGAGUGGCGAAAUGGAUGCCAGAAGUUAUGUCUUUAAUAAGAUUAGUGGUGAUGAAAGAGGAUAUGAAAAUACAAAUCAACAAUAUUCUUUUAUUUCUAUAUAUUGUCAAUCGGUAUUUUUCAUGUUCAUAAUUUUGUAAUAGAAUGGAUUCACUAUAAUCUAAUAAACUAAAACGUGACCUAGGCGGUUGCUUAGGCGCUAGGAGCUCAGCCGAACUCUAGACGACCGCCUAAAUUGUAUGGAUUAUAUUACUGUAAUUUUUAACUGCAUAUAUUUAAAUUUUAAAUUUUAAAUCUAUAUGUAUAUAUAUAUAUAUAUAUAUAUCUAAUUAUAAACGUUCAUAUCUUGUUAACAGAAUUUAAAUAACCGUUUUCUAAUAUUAUUUUUAAAUUUAUUGAAUUUGUUUUUCUAACAAUAAUUUUUACAUCUUUUAUCAAUAAUAUCAUAUAUAAUACUUUAUUUUGUAAUUGCUAAAACAAACCUUAUAGAAAAUGUUGAACGUAGAUGAAAUAAAAGUAUGGUUGUAGUUAGAUAUUGGAAAAUAAAAGAAGAGCUAAAAUAUAUGGUUAACGCUCAUACAUUAUAUAACAAUGAGAGGUAGUAAUUGCAAAACUUACAAAAAAAACUUUUAAAUAGUCAUUAGAUUUUUAGAAUUAUCUUGAGAUAAGCUAUACUAACAAAAAUGAAGUGAGUAGAAAAAAAAAAUGGUAAUGAAAUUGUGCAUAACAAAAUGAGGAAGUCAUAAAAGUUUUUUUUUCUUUAAGUCAUAAAAGUUAAGUAUUUCUGAUAUAUGACAACAACGUAAUUUAUAAAAAUUCAAUUGGAAUGUUAAAGGUGAAAAGACAUGUAAUAUUUAAUUUUUUUGGUUAUUUUGUUAGGUGCAUUUAUUACCAACAUCAAUUUAUAGAAAAU